UGCACGAGUAAAAAAUAAAACAUUUUAUGCUAAUACUGAUUCUCUGGAUUUCCUUCUUUUUGCAGAUCCUUGUCAUUGUCAUCCCCACCCCUCCAUCUCUCUCCUCUUUUGUGGUGUUGUUCACUUUAUAACUCAAAGGCUCUUUUAAGAGCCAUUUCCCCUUGCAAAAACUUUGAAUACAACUCCCAAUGAGAAAGAAAUGCAUACAGCUGUCCAGUCGCAGUGUGACCCUAAAUGUUGUCCAAAUCCUGUGGUAACAAGUCUGAACGUAGUUAAAGCAAGCAAAACAUUUUGGGGAACCAUGCCAAAUGAGGGGCAACAGCAGUUGGUCUGAUGAAGAAAGACGGGCAACAAAAAGACAAAUGAGGCAUACUGAAAAGAAUGCACAAAAGGCAAGCAUGACUGCAGAGUUGCAACUUUUGGAUUUACCCAUGGAGGUCUUGGAGAUGAUACUCCUUGAAGUAGUGCUACAGGAUGGAGAUGCUGCCUACAUGAAUAUGUCUCUUACUUGCAGUUGUAAACAAGGCCCUGUUCAGACAGAAGGCACACUAUGCAUGGCUUGACCAGUGUUGGUGAACUGGGGAAAAUGGAGUGAAACAUCAAAGGCUGAAUUGCGGGUGCCUUUUGAAAUAAAAGUGUGUAAAAUAUGUCAAACCGUGUUCAAAUCCUGCUCAGGUUUUUACAGUAAUGGGAAGCGUGGUUGCCUGAGAGGAUUCUACGACAGCAUAGAGGACCCAGACUGCUGUUUCAUGUGCCAGUAAAGUGUAUAAAGAAGGAAGGUUUAAUGAUUAAAGGAGAUUAAGCAUUAAAGGAAGAAA